ACGUAGGUGGCAAGCGUUGUCCGGAUUUAUUGGGCGUAAAGCGAGCGCAGGCGGUUCCUUAAGUCUGAUGUGAAAGCCCACGGCUCAACCGUGGAAGGUCAUUGGAAACUGGGGAACUUGAGUGCAGAAGAGGAGAGUGGAAUUCCAUGUGUAGCGGUGAAAUGCGUAGAUAUAUGGAGGAACACCAGUGGCGAAGGCGACUCUCUGGUCUGUAACUGACGCUGAGGCUCGAAAGCGUGGGGAGCAAACAGGAUUAGAUACCCUGGUAGUCCACGCCGUAAACGAUGAGUGCUAAGUGUUGGAGGGUUUCCACCCUUCAGUGCUGCAGCUAACGCAUUAAGCACUCCGCCUGGGGAGUACGGCCGCAAGGCUG
rnacentral:rRNA from 1 species